rnacentral:tRNA from 1 species
GCCGGGGUGGCGGAACUGGCAGACGCACAGGACUUAAAAUCCUGGGUCCCGCAAGGGGCGUGCGGGUUCGAUUCCCGCCCCCGGCACCA